rnacentral:rRNA from 1 species
ACGCUCGACACCUACGGGGGGCAGCAGUAGGGAAUCUUCCACAAUGGGCGCAAGCCUGAUGGAGCAACACCGCGUGAGUGAAGAAGGGUUUCGGCUCGUAAAGCUCUGUUGUUGGAGAAGAACGUGCGUGAGAGUAACUGUUCACGCAGUGACGGUAUCCAACCAGAAAGUCACGGCUAACUACGUGCCAGCAGCAGCGGUAAUCUGAGCGGGCUGGCAAGGC